rnacentral:rRNA from 1 species
CCCUGGCUCAGGACGAACGCUGGCGGCAUGCCUAAUACAUGCAAGUCGAGCGGAGUUUGAAUGGAAGCUUGCUUCCAUUCUUGCUUAGCGGCGGACGGGUGAGUAACACGUAGGCAACCUGCCCUCAAGACUGGGAUAACUACCGGAAACGGUAGCUAAUACCGGAUAAUUUCUUUCCUCUCCCUGAAGAGAGAAUGAAAGGCGGAGCAAUCUGCCACUUGGGGAUGGGCCUGCGGCGCAUUAGCUAGUUGGUGGGGUAACGGCUCACCAAGGCGACGAUGCGUAGCCGACCUGAGAGGGUGAACGGCCACACUGGGACUGAGACACGGCCCAGACUCCUACGGGAGGCAGCAGUAGGGAAUCUUCCGCAAUGGGCGAAAGCCUGACGGAGCAAUGCCGCGUGAGUGAUGAAGGUUUUCGGAUCGUAAAGCUCUGUUGCCAGGGAAGAACGUCCGGUAGAGUAACUGCUACUCGGAGUGACGGUACCUG